UACGUAGGGGGCAAGCGUUGUCCGGAUUUAUUGGGCGUAAAGAGCGUGUAGGCGGUUAGGUAGGUCCGUUGUGAAAACUCGAGGCUCAACCUCGAGACGCCGAUGGAAACCAUCUGACUAGAGUCCGGAAGAGGAGAGUGGAAUUCCUGGUGUAGCGGUGAAAUGCGCAGAUAUCAGGAAGAACACCAAUGGCGAAAGCAGCUCUCUGGGACGGUACUGACGCUGAGACGCGAAAGCGUGGGGAGCGAACAGG
rnacentral:rRNA from 1 species